GAUAAUGGUUUAAUGCAAACUGUGAAGAGGUGGAGAUGUGAUCAACGGAAGAAGUCAGAAUGAAUUGUUCUCACCAAAGGGAGAUUGUUCUCUGACCAUAAAUAUUUUCCUGUUGCAGUCAGCAUGUUGGUGUUUUCACAGCUUUAGAGCUGGAUGGCCAGAAACUGUGAAACGAUAACUCAGUUAAAAGUCAGUCAGUGAAAGUUAUGCCAUGUGUGAUAUCCUUGGAAGCAGGAAAUGCACCUGAGCAGUUUCUUUGUGAUUGUGCAUGAUGAUGCUGUCGAGGCCAUUGAAGGAAAAGACUGUAUUAAUAUCAUUUUCCAUGUUUCACAGCUCGCUGAGCUCAGCAGCCUGUUUAAGAGUUUAUGCUACAAUCCCUCACCUCGAUACAGCAUCUCUGGAUCAUCCCUAUGAAGCUUAUGAGACUAUUAGGAUUACUAAAUAUAUUUAUAUACUGCAGUACUCCUCAGCUCAAUCACAAAGUAAUCUAGUAUCCACAAGUUCAGUCCCAGUAGGAAUUGCUAACAGCUAAUUCAGCAUGCAUUUAUUGUUGAUGGAACAUGAACAGAUUCAAGCUAAAAACAUGCGACUGAACUUUCAGCCUCUACAGCAACACUUCUUGUUUACAUCCUCCAAAAUCUCCAGAUUCUAGGAAUCACCACAUUCCAGGUGGAAGUGUGACUGUGACUAUUUACUGACUGUAAAUAAAUCCAAAUAACUGGAUUUUGUGUGCAUAUUGUUGCAAAGUGCGCUGCUACAUGAGAAAACCAGCUCUGAUUGUUACAAAAGGAAGUCAUCUGAUAAGCUGCAAACACGCCUGCUGCCAAAGCUCCAGCUUCAAUAAUAACUGGAUUCCAGAAGAACAACAACAGCUGUGUGUGUGUGCUGUGCAUUGAAAGGCUCUCAGGUUGGCUCCAGCACAAACACAACGUUGUUGCCCUGGUUUGCGUUCUUAGGAAGAUGAAACUUGAGUAAGAUGGACAAAAAGUGAAAGAAUACAGGCCACAGUGGAGACGAGAGCUGGACUGAAGCCUUUCUCCAGGGUGAAGUUGCCCAAUAGAAACUUGGAGCUGAA